rnacentral:rRNA from 1 species
CUACGGGCGGCUGCAGUGGGGAAUAUUGGACAAUGGGCGCAAGCCUGAUCCAGCAAUGCCGCGUGAGUGAAGACGGCCUUAGGGUUGUAAAACUCUUUCGCUAGGGAAGAUAAUGACUGUACCUAGUAAUGAAGUCCCGGCUAACUCCGUGCCAGCAGCCGCGGUAAUACGGAGGGGACUAGCGUUGUUCGGAAUUACUGGGCGUAAAGAGUUCGUAGGCGGACUGACAAGUUAGAGGUGAAAUCCCAGGGCUCAACCCUGGAACUGCCUUUAAAACUGUCAGUCUAGAGACCGGAAGAGGAUAGGGGAAUACCUAGUGUAGAGGUGAAAUUCGUAGAUAUUAGGUGGAACACCAGUGGCGAAGGCGCCUAACUGGUCCGGUACUGACGCUGAGGAACGAAAGCGUGGGGAGCAAACAGGAUUAGAUACCCUUGUAGUC